UACGAAGGGGGCUAGCGUUGCUCGGAAUCACUGGGCGUAAAGCGCACGUAGGCGGACUCUUAAGUCAGGGGUGAAAUCCUGGAGCUCAACUCCAGAACUGCCUUUGAUACUGGGAGUCUUGAGUUCGGGAGAGGUGAGUGGAACUGCGAGUGUAGAGGUGAAAUUCGUAGAUAUUCGCAAGAACACCGGUGGCGAAGGCGGCCAACUGGACAGAUACUGACGCUGAGACACGAAAGCGUGGGGAGCAAACAGG
rnacentral:rRNA from 1 species